rnacentral:rRNA from 1 species
CGGCCGCGUCGACGAACGGGUGAGUAACGCGUAGGUAACCUGCCUUGUAGCGGGGGAUAACUAUUGGAAACGAUAGCUAAUACCGCAUAACAAUGGAUGACACAUGUCAUUUAUUUGAAAGGGGCAAUUGUUCCACUACAAGAUGGACCUGCGUUGUAUUAGCUAGUAGGUGAGGUAAUGGCUCACCUAGGCGACGAUACAUAGCCGACCUGAGAGGGUGAUCGGCCACACUGGGACUGAGACACGGCCCAGACUCCUACGGGAGGCAGCAGUGGGGAAUUUUCCGCAAUGGGCGAAAGCCUGACGGAGCAAGACCGCGUGGGGGAAGAAGGCUCUUGGGUUGUAAACCCCUUUUCUCUGGGAAGAAAGUUGUGAAAGCAACCUGACGGUACCAGAGGAAUCAGCAUCGGCUAACUCCGUG